AUCGCGCACCCUUCUCACCCCUCCCCACCGCAUCCCUCCUUGCUCUUCAGACACAACGCGCGCACCCUGUCAAACCCAGUCACGACGCUUAACUCCCACGACUUCUCGCAAAUCAUUUCAGUCUCCUCCGGGAAUAACUAUUCUUAACUUGGGAUGUCUGUGCUAUGUGUCAUUGACACAACUGGAGGUAUCGCCAAUUGUGUCAAUGUCACAUAGCAUUGGAGUUAUGGGAACAAAACAGUUAUAUACAAAUCAAAUUUCAUACAAAGAGUUUGAAACCAACUUUAGAAAAAAAGUGUCUUUAAACUAACUUUUACACAAAGUGUAUUCCUGAAAAAAUACUUUACACAAAUAAUGCAUUCCUAAAGCUCCAAAGAUGUUUAAAAAAUGUCUUGUGUCAAGGUUUUCACAUUGACAGCUGUCACUGUAACAAUGUUAGUAGUUUUGCUUGUUUACCGAGGUGGCAACAGUAGCUAAGGGGGGCGGAGCUUACCAAUAGGCCAAUUCAAAACAAAUGCCGACAAAUUUUUAAUGCAGCGCCUGAAAGAAAUGGCGGUCGGCUUCAUUCUCUGUGCCAUUUUCUUUCUCUGUGUCUGAGAGUAAUAGAUCAGAGCUUGGCACCUGCAGAGUCCUCUGCGGGGGGACUGAGGGUCUUCAUUUUCAUUAAACACAAUAGCCCAGGGACAGCACAUCCAGUCGGCCUUAUCUAUAAAGAGAAACAUUUUGCCUGGCAAGGUGGGGCGUUUAUGGAUGGUUCGUUCCCGGUCACAAAUAAAAAACGGAGCAGGGAGAGAAGGUGCCUUUUUACUUCGGAGCGUGUGGUUCUGCUGACGCAUUUCCUGAAUGUUCAUUUCCAAUCUUAAGUCAAUUGUACAUCGUUUGUUUUGGCUCAAUUUGGAAUUUCCCCAACUAUUGCAGAGCCUGGAGGAUCAGAGUGAGCGCUUCAGCUUGGCCCCAGCCGAAUCCCACUUGUAGCUUCUUUUGCGAUCUUCAGAAACCAAUGGGUGUCUUUACAACUCCACUAAUACGUUCAGGUGUUCGCAUCUCUCUCUCACGUUCGCCAGAUCGGCCCAGCUGGAGGACUAACUCAAGUACAGCUGGAUGGAACAUUUGAAGAUCUCUCAUAUCCAUGCUUUAUUUGUUCAGUAUUCUGCUGAAGCUGGUCUAAUGCAACUUUAACCCUCAGUGUUUUGGCAAGUGUAUCAUAAAAAAUCACAGAGAUGGAGGUCAUCAGAUGAGAGGAAGUCCUGGAUGAGUAGAGGAGGAUGGAGAAACCAAAGCUGGAGAGGUUUUGUGUUCAUGAAGGUAACAUUUGGUUGGCUUUUUGAGUAAAGAUCCAUUGCAAAUUCAUGAAAAAAUGGUUGGGUUUAAAUUCCUCACAGGAUGCUUGAUAGAUUUCCAGUUUGCUUCAUAUUUUGCUGUUAAAAGUACUUUUGCAAUCGUUUUCAUUAGUUAAUGUUAGUUGUACAAUACAUGUAGAGCAUUUAUUAAUCAUAGGUCAGCAUUCAAAAAUUUUAUUCUGUAUGUUUGCACAAGUGAAGUUUAUGUAUAAAUAAAUUUUGAGAG